GGCAGAGGUCAAAGGGAUUCCUGGGGCAGCCUCAAGGGAAAGAAUUCUGGCGCGGGGGGCCGGUAUACAGUACUCUAAAUAUGGCAGUGGUUGUGUCUGAAAUUAUCGUGCUUUUCUUUGUUUAAUCUGUUUCUUGUCUCUUCAUCGCCCUUCUAUAUAACGUAAGACUAGAAGCUUUAUUUAGUGAAUUCCCUGUAACCCAGGCUCCUUGGACAAAUAGGACAUACACUCUAGCUGUAGCGUCCUCCCCUCUGAGAUGGAAAUUACAAGCCAUCCCGCAAUGUUGUGAGGAUUGGAGCUCAAGGGUGUAAAAUGCCUCCUCUGGGGGCUCUCCUUGGAGACGUCUUGUAUCCUAUUGAUUGUCAUCGAAGGAAAGAAGUGGCAGGAUGAUGGUGUGAGAAGGAAGAACCUUGAGUUUAAUAGUCUGAAAAAGUGGUUACAGGUUCUUGCUGUGCUUUUUCUCUCUGCGGUUUUCUGAACCCAUCGCCUAACCUGAAGCCUUAAUUCAUCUGCAAAAAUGUUUUGUGGCAGGUGCCUCUGAAGCAGAACUCUUGAGAUGGAAGGGUUGUCAUCUGAGGAAAAAAAAUCGAGAUUAAGAGAGGAGGGACUAGAAUGAGAUUCACUUACCCUCUCUCCUCCAAGGGAAGGAGAGAAUGGUGAUGCCUGCCCAAUCCUUCCUGGGCGGAACCUUUGUAGCAUGGAACAUUGGAGAAUUUGCAGUCUGCUGACUUUCUGAUUUAGGAGGUUGAUGGGGAGGCCUUAUAAUUUGCAUUUCUAACAAGUUCUGAGGUGAUGCUUCAAAUAUGUCCAGGCAGAAGGGCUGCCACACAGAGAUUUCUGCCAUACCACAUGAGAAUUGAAGCCACAGACAUCUCCAGCCCUCAAGCCUGAAACCAAAAGACUGAAAACCAAACACUAUGGUGGACAAAGGACAUCUCAGAACUUCUGUGGGGACCAGUGACACAAGGACCUAAGGUCUAUCUCUUCUCAUCUUGGCACUUCGGGUAGUCUCCCCAGUCUUGACAAAGCCCUGGAGAAAGGGGCGGGCCUCCCGUUGAUAAGAUUGUCACUGCAGAUAAAUGGAGGUUUCAAACUGAAAGAAAGGAGGAGGGCCUCCCGUUUGAUAAGAUUAUUGUCACUGCAGGUAAAUGGAGGCUUCAAAUAGAAAUAGGUUUCAGUUACAGAAAAAAAAAAUUAUCUUUGUUACACAUUUGAGUUUACAGGCCUAAGGUUACUCCCGCUACAUUGUCAUCUGUAACCAUAAGACACUCAACAUUUUAAGGUAACUAUAAGGAUUUUUGCUUCACUCAAAGAUCCUGAGGUUUUAUUCACAUUUUUAUUUGGUGACUAUAGUUGACAAGAACAAAGCUGUGGGGAAUCAACAAACACUGCCAUGCCUGGCAUUGUCACCUCACUAGAUUGUGCAUUCCUCUGGGACAGGGUCCAUACAUUGCCUUCGAAUCCCUCACUUAGUCAUUAGCCUGCACAGUGCUUGUACUUAGUAGGUGCUCAAUAAAUGUUUGUGGAAUGAAUGCAUGAUGAACAAAAUA
rnacentral:lncRNA from 1 species